rnacentral:misc_RNA from 1 species
GAUGAAGAACGUAGCAAAAUGCGAUAAGUAAUGUGAAUUGCAGAAUUCAGUGAAUCAUCGAAUCUUUGAACGCACAUUGCGCCCGCUGGUAUUCCGGCGGGCAUGCCUGUUCGAGCGUCAUUUCAACCCUCAAGCCCCCGGGUUUGGUGUUGGGGAUCGGCUCUGCCCUCUGGGCGGUGCCGCCCCCGAAAUACAUUGGCGGUCUCGCUGCAGCCUCCAUUGCGUAGUAGCUAACACCUCGCAACUGGAACGCGGCGCGGCCAUGCCGUAAAACCCCAACUUCUGAAUGUUGACCUCGAAUCAGGUAGGAAUACCCGCUGAACUUAAGCAUAUCAAUAAGCGGAGGA